AAACCGGAGGAAGGUGGGGGAUGACGUCAAGUCCUCAUGGCCCUUACUGGUAGGGCUUCGACACGUCAUACAAUGGUCGGUACAGAGGGUUGCCAAGCCGCGAGGUGGAGCCAAUCCCUUAAAGCCGAUCGUAGUCCGGAUCGUAGUCUGCAACUCGACUACGUGAAGUCGGAAUCGCUAGUAAUCGCAGAUCAGCAUGCUGCGGUGAAUACGUUCCCGGGUCCGUU
rnacentral:rRNA from 1 species